GACAACACUAUUCGAUAAGAAAACACAAAAGACUAAUGAUGCACAAUUAAAUCACAAUAAUUCGUGGUGGGAGUGACUAUUAAGAUUAGAUUAUAAUUUUCAAAGCUUGAGUAUAAUAUUGGUCAUUUGGUGCUACAAAAUUUAGUAUAAAUAGAUGGAACAUAGAAGAGUGAUUUAGCAACAAUAGAAGCUACAACACUCUCGAUUGUAUAAUUUAAACACAAGAUUAGUGCACAAUACUUCCAAACAAAAACAAUGGAGACUAAAGUUGGCUACAAAAGAAUCAUAUUAGCUGUCUUUCUCAUCCUUGCAACAGUGAUGGUGCAAAUCCUUGCUGUCAAAGCACAAGAAGAAAAUCCAAUGUGUGAGGAACACCAUGGGCAUCCAUGCACUCCAAAAGUUAGAGAAUGUUGUCCUAACACAGGACGCCAAUGUGUUGCUACCUCGUCCAAUGGAUUUCGAUGCAUGUAAAUGUGUCGUCGAUAUCAACUCCUAAAUUGGCGACACUUCUCCCCUACAUAUUGAUGGACUUCUCUUUCUGUUUUAUGCAAUUGUCUUUUCUUUUUUAUCCCCUGUUGUUGUUAUGUAUUUCAGGGUGACUUUAUUUGCUGUAAUAUGUUCGUGAGAACUUAUUGUCCAUCUUGGCCAGCCAUGAGAAAACUAUAUAUAUUUCUUGUGCUAUAUAAAUAAAAAUUGUGUUUAUUAA